AAUUGACUUAGGAGAAAACUAUAACUUCUACACUGUCAUUUUCUAAAAAUUACCAGAUUUAACUUUAGGAGCUGUAGUUUGUUUAUAUCGCCGCAGUUUGUAUGCGGUGGAUAUCUAGAAUAGUAUAAAAUGAAUUUACGUUCGUGCUGAGAUGCCGAGUUUAUUUUACAGUAAUGUGUAGACUGUUCCGGACUGUCGGGUGCCGUCGCGGUUGACGGUGGACACAGUUUGCUAUUUUUGCAUCGGAUUGUG
rnacentral:lncRNA from 1 species